AACGUAGGUGGCGAGCGUUAAUCGGAAUUACUGGGCGUAAAGCGUGCGCAGGCGGUUAUGUAAGACAGGGGUGAAAUCCCCGGGCUUAACCUGGGAACUGCAUUUGUGACUGCAUAGCUAGAGUACGGCAGAGGGGGAUGGAAUUCCGCGUGUAGCAGUGAAAUGCGUAGAUAUGCGGAGGAACACCGAUGGCGAAGGCAAUCCCCUGGGCCUGUACUGACGCUCAUGCACGAAAGCGUGGGGAGCAAACAGG
rnacentral:rRNA from 1 species